rnacentral:rRNA from 1 species
GGCUACACAUGCAUCGAACGAACUCUUCGGAGUUAGUGGCGGACGGGUGAGUAACACGUGGGAACGUGCCUUUAGGUUCGGAAUAACUCAGGGAAACUUGUGCUAAUACCGAAUGUGCCCUUCGGGGGAAAGAUUUAUCGCCUUUAGAGCGGCCCGCGUCUGAUUAGCUAGUUGGUGAGGUAAAGGCUCACCAAGGCGACGAUCAGUAGCUGGUCUGAGAGGAUGAUCAGCCACAUUGGGACUGAGACACGGCCCAAACUCCUACGGGAGGCAGCAGUGGGGAAUCUUGCGCAAUGGGCGAAAGCCUGACGCAGCCAUGCCGCGUGAAUGAUGAAGGUCUUAGGAUUGUAAAAUUCUUUCACCGGGGACGAUAAUGACGGUACCCGGAGAAGAAGCCCCGGCUAACUUCGUGCCAGCAGCCGCGGUAAUACGAAGGGGGCUAGCGUUGCUCGGAAUUACUGGGCGUAAAGGGAGCGUAGGCGGACAUUUAAGUCAGGGGUGAAAUCCCGGGGCUCAACCUCGGAAUUGCCUUUGAUACUGGGUGUCUUGAGUAUGAGAGAGGUGUGUGGAACUCCGAGUGUAGAGGUGAAAUUCGUAGAUAUUCGGAAGAACACCAGUGGCGAAGGCGACACACUGGCUCAUUACUGACGCUGAGGCUCGAAAGCGUGGGGAGCAAACAGGAUUAGAUACCCUGGUAGUCCACGCCGUAAACGAUGAUUGCUAGUUGUCGGGAUGCAUGCAUUUCGGUGACGCAGCUAACGCAUUAAGCAAUCCGCCUGGGGGAGUACGGUCGCAAGAUUAAAACUCAAAGGAAUUGACGGGGGCCCGCACAAGCGGUGGGAGCAUGUGGUUUAAUUCGAAGCAACGCGCAGAACCUUACCACCUUUUG